UCAGCAACCAGACUCAACAUCUGGACAUCAGUCAACUCUGUCACACAUGUUCAGACUCUGUCUACAGUUGUGGUUCUACUGAAACUGUGAUCCGAUUGGUCGUCACUGCUCUGGUGGGCGUGGCUGCUGCGGCUGCUGUUGUUCUUCUGGUGUAUGACAUCAGAUCCAGAAGAGCUGAACAAGAUCGAGCACAUUUUCACACAUAAGAAACCUAGAUCAUGAUGUAAUUUCUAAUAUAACCAUUUUAAUCAUUUGUUAAUCUUAAAUGACUUUUUAUAUUCAUCUGCUGGUAUUGAUGUUCAUUUACUGGCAGCUCAUUCCCCCAUUAGAAGAUGAUUUGAGAACAAACAGCAACACAUUCUCACAUUAACGCUCAAAUUAUUGAUAAAUACUGAAAAUUAACAAGAUUGCUCACACUUAAUAUAACAUGCUUUUUUAUAUAUACAAUUGAAUCUUUCAUAUUUGAUAAGGCAGUGAUGCUCCUCUACUGGCUGAACACAUGAAAGCACAUGAAAACAUAUCUCUCUUUGCCAUUUCCAGGGUGAGACGUAUUAUUUUUUUUAAUCCAGUUUGAACAGCUUUAUUGAUUAUAGCCUCUUUCUCUAAGAUCUCACUUUACUAUACUGUUAUCCGUUUUCCAUAUGUAUUUCAUUGCAAUUAUCAAUAAAAUUCAUUAUCAUUCAGA